rnacentral:tRNA from 2 species
CCCUGGUUAGCUCACUUGGUAGAGCGCUCCACCUGUAAUGGAGAGGUCCCGGGUUCGAUACCCGGACCAGGCG